CAGGACAGGUACAAGCACAGGCAAUGACAGUGCGAGCUUUCCCCACACCAGCCGGUCCAUGUGCCUCAACCCUGACCUGGAGGGACCACCUCUAGA
rnacentral:sRNA from 1 species